rnacentral:rRNA from 1 species
GAUGAACGCUGGCGGCGUGCCUAACACAUGCAAGUCGAGCGAACGGACGUGAAGUUUGUUUCUCUGAUGUUAUCGUCGGACGGGUGAGUAACACGUGGCAAACCUACCUAUAAGACUCGAAUAACUUCGGGAAACCGGAGCUAAUAUCGGAUAAUAUAUUGAACCGCAUGGUUGAACAGUGGAAGACGGACUUGCUGCUACUUGUAGAGGAAUCCGCGCUGCAUUAGCUAGUUGGUAAGGGAACGGCUAACCAAGGCAACGAUGCAUAGCCGACGUCGGAGGGUGAGCGGCGACAGCGGAACUGGGACACGGUCCAGACUCAGACGGGAAGCAGAAGUAGGGGAUGGUCAGCAAUGGGCGAGAGCGUGAGGGAGCAACGGCGCGUGAGUGUUGAAGGUCUUCGGAUCGUAAAACUCUGUUACUAGGGAAGAAGAUAAGUGUAAGUAACUGUGCACGUCUUGACGGUACUUAAAGAGGAAGCCACGGCUAACUACGUG